rnacentral:lncRNA from 1 species
CGUGAUCUCCCUGCCUGAGCCUGCAAGAAAUCAAGCGUAUCAUAAAACCAGUGCUUUCAGCAAGCUUCCCGUCUCAGUUAGGUUUUGGUAAGAUGUUCACAAGAAUUUGCUUCCUUGGGAGGAAAAUCAGUGUACUAGGCUGCCGUUAGUUUCAUUUUCAUCGAGCUCGAUGAUGCGGUAGGAAGAAGGGUAGGUGUUAGGAAAGGUGGGGGCCAGGGGUUGGUGACAUCAAGGCAAAUGUCCCCUGGUUCUUGAAACUCCAGAGGAGCCUUAAAUGUGAUGCCAGAGCAACUGAUCCAUUUCAACAAGUGGCUGGUGGAUUUCAAGCUGGAGGAGAGCAGAGUAGAUGGUUGUUCUGGCUGUCUGUCUGGAGUUCCUGGGCCAAGGAUCACAGCGGAGCCGCAGUUGUGACCUACGCUGUGGCUGUGGCACCGCCAGAUCCUUAACCCACUGUGCUGGGCUGAGGAUCGAACCUGCUUGCUGACACUGUGGAGAUGCUUCCAAUCUUGUUGAGCCACAGUGGGAACUCCUUUUUUUUUUUCCUUACGGCUCUUCAAAUACCUUCCAUAACAUAAUGAAGAAAAAAAAUAUCCAGAAGUGAAGAAGCUAUCCCAGAUAAAGGAGAUCACAUAAAGAGUAGAUGUGCUUCCAUAAUGACUUAGAAAAUGGCCAGAUGCAGACUUUGAUUUUCUGCCCAGCUGGAAAUUCAUGUAGUGUUCACGAGACAUGUGAACUCUUAAAUUAUUCAUUUAAAAAAUUAUUUUCAACCAUCUUAAUUCAUGUUGCUGAAUUAUUACUGUCUAAAGGGCCGGCGGCGGCAUUCUAGGAAGGGACCAGGAGAUUGGCACAUGCCCAUGGUGGCCGGGGCUCCUUCAUGGGUGGUGUGUGAGUGAGCGUGUGGGACUAGGUGGGUGAGUCUCAUUCCCCAGCCACAGGCUGCUCCUGUUCUUUGACUUCACUUGUCACUGGAUGUCCAUCCUCUCAGGCUGCUUUGCCAAUGCUGGAUUGUUCCCCGGAGACAACAUACAUCCCCUGUGAUCUGCUUUUACUUCCCUGGAGGAAAUUCAGAAGGCAUUCUUUUCUCUUCUUCCCUGACACACGCACAGCAUUCAUAUCUGUUCCUGGCAGUGGGAAACCAGAGAAAGACCAUCACAACCCUUCCAUAAAACCGGAAGGAGCAAAGGAGCAUGUGUGAGAAAAUCGAUUGCACACCCUUGGUUUUCUCUCUACCAGCAUCCCUGGGUUAUCUAAUGUGAUCUACAGCCUCAGAGGCUUGUGCUCAUGGUAUAUGUAAUUAAAUUCAUUUGUAUGGGUGCCUGGGGAAUUCCAGUGACGAGCCCUGCAAGUGGUUAACUGCAGACAGGAGCCUUCUGGAAUUAUAGCAUCAUUUGGGGUCUUGGACAUUUCAAGGGACUGAUCUGAAGUGUGUGUACUAUUUGGUUUUUUUUCUUGCUUUAUUUGCAGUUUAAAAAAUAAAGCCUAGCUCGUCAUUCUCAGGUCAGAUCUUUUUUUUUUUUUUUCCUUAGCGCCUUUUAAAGUGAACCCCUGGAGGAGGGGGAAAAAAAAAACAGAGCAACCGUGAUAAAGGGGAAAUACAAGAAUCAGUCCACCUUAAGUAGAAAUGACAAGUAAGCUGACUCCUGAAAUUGUUUCAGUGUGAAACCAAAAGCAUUGUCCCUCCCUUUUCCCUUCCUAUUUUUUUCUCCAGAUUUAGAAUUCUAUAGUAAGCCUCUUCCACUGACUGCAUAAUUAAGUAGAUUAAUUAGCACCUGUCCUAUAGCUGUAAGAAGUUGGUGCAUUGUGGCGUGGACUCGUAGUUUGUGCCAGGCCACUUAAAGAGGAACUAUGGGGGUCCAGCUUUCUGGCUCUUACACAUUUUCAGAAAUUAAACAUACUGAGAGCCAGCCUGAGUACUGUGUCCUUGCUGGAAAGCUGGUGGUCAAAUGGAGUUGCACUGUGUGGUUUGUCUGGAUGGCCCGUGUUAACAAUGACAAAUGAACUUAAAGACAACUGUUGAAAAAUACUGGAAGCCUGAGUUCUGUAGCUGAAAUGUUCCGUCAAAUUAAAGAAAAUCAACUUAAGAUUUGCCAGCAGUGCAAAUCUUCCAGAAGGCAACUUAAAGGAAAUCCCUGGAUCUCCAGAUAGGCUGCAUAUUUGUCAUUGCCAUUAAUUUGGUUUGUAAAUCAUGUGGUGAGUGAAGAAAAUCUUGGACAGCAGGGAAAUGACUGCCUCUUUCUUGGGAUAAGUAUUGGCUAAACAUUUUAAGGCAAUGAAAUACCAAGUUUAAGCACAAGGGUGUGAAGUCACAUGGGGACCUUUUUUUGUGACCCUGAUUUUCCUGAUGUCAUACAAAUUCCAUCUCUUGAUUCCCGCCAGUUGAAGUGCUGUGUUUAAUUUGUUUAAUAAUCGGGAUGAGUAAGACUUAAUAUUCCUCACAUGUCAUCCUCUAAAGUAAAUUGGUAAUGGUGUUAUUAAAGUUACCCUGUCAGGAGAAAUAAAACAAGUCCUUUUGCUGUUGGAGAAAGGCUGCUAGGCAUUGUUUACCACACUCUCAAGGUCAGAGGGCACAGUCAGAAGUACACUUGGAAGCAGUUUGAAGACUGUGAUACCCUGCAUUUCAGAGAAGGUCCCUGCUGGAUCUUUCCUGGGUAGGUGUCUAAUAUUGUAAUAUAUUUAUAAUUGGAUUUUAAUUGCAAUCUGAUUUUAGCGUGCGUGUUUCCGUUUGCUGCUGCAGAAGGAUGACGUUCCAAAUGAAAUUAUACAAUACCUCUCCCAGGGCAAUUUGUUCUCCACCAGAAAUAUACUGGAGAAUAAAAUUCAUGCUGUGUUGUUUGCCUUAGUUUAUUGACUUAACAACCUAAGUCAUUUUAUUCUUGGGUGUUUUAUCUUGUUUUGUGGUUCACCCCAGCAGUGGUGCCUAGUGGGGAGAACAUGGGCUGCCUGGCAAACUAGGGAGUUCUGCUAAUGGCUCUGCUCCUUCCUAGCCUUGAGUCCUUAGGUGAGUUCCUUAGCCCCUGAAAGUUUGUUUUCUCAUCUGUGAAAUGGGGAUAGCAAUCUUGACCAGGUGUGGGGGUGGGGGUGGUGCUUAUGAUGAUUACAUGGAAUAAGUCAUGAAAAGUGUAUAUCUAGCAUCUGGAAUAGAAAGUGACUUCUAUUAACAAGUACUAACUUGUUAAUUACAUUUCUCAGAGUAAUAAUUUUCUCAAUUUUUAUUCCUCACUGUCUCCAUAUAGUAAUUAUUUAAAAUGAUUUUCGAGAGGCUUUGUUGAAGAUAUGGAAAAAUCAAGGUCUGGCUAUUGACUGGAGGAGUGGUUAAUGAGAGCCAAGAUUAAUUCCUCAUAGCCUCAGAAGAGGGACUUUCUAAAGAAAAGUAACCAGAAAUCUUCCCAGCUCUUAGCUGCCAAACUCUAAUAUCGUAUAAUACAAGACCUCAGAAAGAUGACAUGAAUACUAGUGUUAACUACUAUGGCUUCCCAAUAUGAAAUUUUGCUGUUUUGGAUUCUGUGCUGUAGUAUCUGUGGUUAUUACAGUAUUGCUCAGAGUAAUGUGACAGUUUUCACUACCUUUUAGCUAAUAGAUUUUUUAAAACAUGCUUACAGCUCUGGUUUUGUUCAAAUCAAAAAAGCAUUUGAUAGCUUGAUGGAAAACAAAAAUUUUAGGUUCAUCCUUGUUGACAGUUGUGAUUAAACUAGGAGGAGAAAUGGGGAAGGACAGAAAAAUAAGCAAAAUUUUUAACAGUAUUUGCUAAAGGAGUUAGAAGCAUUGUCAGUUUAAAAACUUCAUAGAAAAAAUAAUUGAAACAGUGUAAUAAAGUUACUUAAUUCUAAUUUAAUUUUUGCAAAGGGGAUUAUUUAGGACCAAAUAAUAACCUAUCACAUUCAUUGUAAUCUAGCAAAUGGAAUGAUUUGAUAUAUAAUUGAACGAAGCAUGAAUUCAAACAAAACUAGUAGACUUUCUGUGACCACUUGUUUGAACACCAUUCAGAAGAGUAGAAUAUGUCAUACCUUGUAACCUAAACUGCUCUGCAGAUAAGUAAUACCAACAGUCUUGAAUUUUUUAAUUUGGUAAUAACCCUCUCCCUGUAAUACCAAGAAUAUUACCAAAACUCUGUUAGUUGACAUAAAUACAUGUUUGGUAUUCAGUACCACAUUUUGUGGUAUUUUUGCCUUCCUCAUCCUUUUUGCCUUCAAAAGAUGUGCCUUUUGCAAUAAUAUGAUAAUUGGCUUCUGAUAAGACUAUUAAUGUUAAUAGAUGUAAAAUAUGACAUUUAGCAGGGACAAAGAUGGAGUUUUAAAUUUUAUAGCCAAUUCUCAUACCACCAAUGCUGCAAUAAUAGGAAGACUUAAUAAGGAGUCUGGAAAAACUGAAUUCUUUUGACUCUUUCACCCCAACCAACCCAAAGACACACUUUUAGGAUGGACUGGGAUGGAUUGUACAAGGUAAGAGAACAGUGUUAAUUCUUGCUUUGGAUCGGAUGCUAGAAAAAAGACCUAAAUAUUAUAAUGGAUACCCUAAAUAAAACAAUUAAUAAAAAUAGAAAACAAUGAGAAAUGUUUAAGAGAGUAGAUUUGUUAUGUAUAUUUACCAUAAUAAAAAAAAAUUAGGGGUUCCUGCUGUGGUGCAAUGGGAUCGACAGUGUCUCUGUAGCACCAAGAUGCAUGUUUGACCCUUGGCCCAGCACAGUGGGUUAAAGGAUCUGGUGUUGCUGCAGCUGCAACGUAGGUCACAAUUU